rnacentral:tRNA from 1 species
AGCGGGAUAGAGCAGCCCGGAAGCUCGCCAGCCUCAUAAGCUGGAGGUCGGCGGUUCAAAUCCGCCUCCCGCAACCA